UGUCAGAACUGUGCUGAGAAAGACUGAU
rnacentral:piRNA from 1 species